GGAGAGGUGGCAGAGUGGCCGAAUGCGGCGGUCUUGAAAACCGCUGAGGGAAACCUCCGUGGGUUCGAAUCCCACCCUCUCCGCCA
rnacentral:tRNA from 1 species